UACAGAGGGUGCGAGCGUUAAUCGGAAUUACUGGGCGUAAAGCGCGCGUAGGCGGCUUUUCAAGUCGAUUGUGAAAUCCCCGGGCUUAACCUGGGAACUGCAGUCGAGACUGUCUAGCUAGAGUAUGGGAGAGGGAAGUGGAAUUUCAGGUGUAGCGGUGAAAUGCGUAGAUAUCUGAAGGAACACCGAUGGCGAAGGCAGCUCGCUGGGACGGUACUGACGCUGAGGCGCGAAAGCGUGGGGAGCAAACAGG
rnacentral:rRNA from 1 species